AGGUCAAAAUGGCGGGCCGACCUGCAGUUGCAGCAUCAAGCAAGUGGCUGGAUGGUUUCCGGAAGUGGUAUUAUAAUGCAGCGGGCUUCAAUAAACUGGGGUUAAUGCGAGAUGACACAAUGCAUGAAACUGAAGAUGUAAAAGGAAGCCAUAACGAAGGCUGCCUGAGAACCUUUAUAAUGACAGAAUGUUUCGAAUUAAGAGAGCCCUAGACCUGUCUAUGCGGCAUCAGAUCUUGCCUAAGGAUCAGUGGACAAAAUAUGAGGAGGUAGAACAGAUUUGAUGUGUCUAGCAGUGUUGGUCACUCAAGAUGCAGUAUCAGAAACAGAAGAAACACACUUGAUUGUUCAGUGUUUCAGUGUUCUCCAAGUCAUGCCACAUAAGUAGCAUUUCAGCAGCCAAGUGAAGUUAGUAGAAAGGUGUCAGCUCUAUGUUAAAGAAGAACAAGGUGAGACUUGGAGGUGAAGUGACUUCUGAUAUCACUGAGCUAGUCUUUAGUAUGGAAGGCCUGGGCUGGAAUUCAUAUUUUCUGCCACAUCCGCUAGUGUUGCUUUCCCUCUACUCUGGUUCCUGCUCUAUGAAAAGAGUUUUAGUUAUACGAAGUCUAUUGAGUGCUUUUGUAGCUCUGAGCAUGGACAUCUGUCCUCAAAAGUCAUCAAACCAGGCAAGCCUACAGGCAUUGUACAUCUUCUGACCUGCUCACUGCUUGAUCUUUCUUAGAUUUUACAUUAAAAAGCACAUAUGUCCUAGAGGUUGAGAUUGUAUUUUCUUAAGUUACAAGCAAACAGUAAUUCAUUGCAGUGAACUUUAUUGGAGGUUUAAGGCCUAUUGUUCUCUUCUUCAUUCUUCAGGACAAAUUCUACCUUGAACCCUAUCUGAAAGAGGUUAUUCGGGAAAGAAAGGAGAGAGAAGAGUGGGCGAAGAAGUGAUCGUGUAGUUAAGAUCUGUGGGUGCGCCUGGUCUCACCCUAUUUUAUGACAUUGUUUCAACCUGAAUCACAACUUAAGAAUCAUUUGCUCUACACAUGCCUCACUUUAAAUAAAUGUCUAUUAUAACCGUU
rnacentral:lncRNA from 1 species